GAGCGGACAUCUUCGGAUGUUAGCGGCGGACGGGUGAGUAACACGUGGGCAAUCUGCCUGACAGACUGGAAUAACGCCUGGAAACGGGUGCUAAUGCCAGAUAGCGCAGCGGGUAGGCAUCUACCAGCUGGGAAAGGUGCUACGGCACUACUGUCAGAGGAGCCCGCGGCGCAUUAGCUAGUUGGUGAGGUAACGGCCCACCAAGGCGACGAUGCGUAGCCGACCUGAGAGGGUGACCGGCCACACUGGGACUGAGACACGGCCCAUACUCCUACGGGAGGCAGCAGUAGGGAAUCUUCCGCAAUGGGCGAAAGCCUGACGGAGCAACGCCGCGUGAGCGAAGAAGGCCUUCGGGUUGUAAAGCUCAGUCACCCGGGAAGAGCGAAUCGGAGAGGGAAUGCUCCGAUUGAGACGGUACCGGGAGAGGAAGCCCCGGCUAACUACGUGCCAGCAGCCGCGGUAAU
rnacentral:rRNA from 1 species